UGACAUACCUAAACGUUGCUUCGGCGGGAACAGACGGCCCCGUGAAACGGGCCGCCCCCGCCAGAGGACCCCUAACUCUGUUUCUAUAAUGUUUCUUCUGAGUAAAACAAGCAAAUAAAUUAAAACUUUCAACAACGGAUCUCUUGGCUCUGGCAUCGAUGAAGAACGCAGCGAAAUGCGAUAAGUAAUGUGAAUUGCAGAAUUCAGUGAAUCAUCGAAUCUUUGAACGCACAUUGCGCCCGCCAGUAUUCUGGCGGGCAUGCCUGUUCGAGCGUCAUUACAACCCUCAGGCCCCCGGGCCUGGCGUUGGGGAUCGGCGGAGCCCCCCGUGGGCACACGCCGUCCCCCAAAUACAGUGGCGGUCCCGCCGCAGCUUCCAUCGCGUAGUAGCUAACACCUCGCGACUGGAGAGCGGCGCGGCCACGCCGUAAAACACCCAACUCUUCUGAAGUUGACCUCGAAUCAGGUAGGAAUACCCGCUGAACUUAAGCAUAUCAAUAA
rnacentral:rRNA from 1 species